UCGCGCCCCCCCAGCCCUGACACAGUCUGCCCGAGCUGCCCGGCGGGCACGCGCCCAUCCGCCUCCGCCGAGCCUGUGUCUGCGUGUUCGCUGCGUCAUAGGCCAGGGCGCCCAGCCACCCUUGCCGCCAGGCCGGGGUUUAGCGCGGCGUGUUUACUGAAAGCCCCGCGUGGGGGGGCGGGGAGGCCCCGUGUCCCUGACGUGACAAGCUCAGGGCAGGGGUUGGAGGGGCGACGUUUUACACAAACAGAUGAUGUCAUCGUGGAAAGUUUUCAGAGGCAAAAGGCCCGAGCUGGGAGGAAGGCAGCGGCGGGGAGAAGCUGCCCCGCGCUGGUCUCAGUGGGGGUUGCCAGCGGCUGGCGGCCUCUGGGCCCCAGGACUUUAGAUGAGAGAUGUCGUGUGCUUUUGUGGGGGGGUGUCCCUGCCCAAAAACACUCCUGCACCGACAGUACUGCCCGAAAGGCCAGGUAGGGUCCCCACCCUGCAAAGCCUUCAGCACUUGCUUACCUUUAAGCGCACGGAUAGUCACUCAGUGUGUCAUUAAAAUUAAGCGUGUGCAAAAGUGCUUGCAGGAUACUUGCUACUAGGGUGACUAGAUGAUGGUUUUAUAGGGAUGGUCCCAAUUUUGGGGGCUUUUUCUUAUAUAGGCACCUAUUAUCCCCCACCCCCUAUCCUGAUUUUUCACAUUUGCUACCUGGUCACACUACUUGCUGCUGCUAGUUGUAUUUUACAGCUAUAUACUUUUUAAAAUCAGGAUUAAUUUUUUUUUUAGUCGCUCGAUAGCAACUAUUAAAAAGAAAAGAAUUCUACCCUGGAAAGGUAAAUAUAAACUGGCCAUUUCAACAUUUUUAAGCCCUCUUUAAAAAUGGUUCUGCGCUUGGUAAAGAAGGAACUUUCUGUUUUUUUGAUUGGUUGGAUUGGUUUGCUGUUGGUUGUUUGGUUUUUUUGUUUUUUAAAUCAAGGAUCAUUUUUUUAGUGGUGCCUAGUCCUGAAUUAUUUGUGCACAGAAAACUCCAACUUCUACUCCAUUGACUGAUGGUGAUUUUAGGUGCUCAAGGCAAACAAGAUCAGAACCUUUUGUCUGAAAAUGGUAGCAGUGGGGAUUUGUUGAAGAGUUGAAGGAGCUUGCAAACUUGCCUAACUUUUUGUAGGCUACAUUCUCCUCCUCUUCUUCCAUGCAGCUGGUGGGUGCCAGCAAGAGAGAGUUUUUCUGUUCGCUGUUCCUCUGCCCAGUGGCCUGCAGCACUUGGGAGCAGUAAUUGCAGGGAAAAUCCUGCUCAGCCCUUGCAGCUCUGCACUGGAUCAUGCUCGCUACAGAUGGAAUCAUCAGAGAAUUUAGCUGUCAAGCUAACAAGUCACUACUGAGCAUUUGCAGUCUAAGAUUUUUCUUAUAACAUGACCAAAAUUACGCAGUUUUGCAAGUAAACAACAAAAGACCCAGUGCUGACACAAAGGCCACCCCUUUGUUAAUUCCUUGUUUGAAAGCAUGGAGGUGCUAGAACUUCUCAAUUAAACAGUGAGAUAAAGGAAAUUAAGAUAAAAAAGCAAGACUUUUUUGAAAACAUGGACUUCUCCUGAAUCACCAAGGAUUAGGCCUUGGAUUUUAUGGCAUAACCAGUUUGCCUAGUCUCAGAGAGUCACAGUCUUGGAGAUAGGGGUUGUACCACAGCUGGUUUGUACCAUGAUAGUUGUCUGUGAUGAGAAAAAUGGCCAAAAAUAUAUUUUUUUCAAUAAUAUACCACCUGUUACAUAAGCUGAAGGGACAGUCAUAGCCAAAUUUACAAUAGCAGCCUGUACAUUUGUGUGCCUAGAACUAAUCAUGCAAAUCAGAAAGAUACCUAACGAUCCAGUUUGGGUUGGGUGCAGAAAUCAGUUUGGGAAUAUUCAAACAGUUGGCAGUGCAGUUCUGGGCGCACACAUUUAAGCCUGGUCUAUGCUAGGCAUUUAAACCGAAUUUAGCAGUGUUAAAUCGAUUUAACCCUGCACCCGUCCACACAACGAAGCCCUUUAUAUCGAUAUAAAGGGUUCUUUAAACUGAUUUCUGUACUCCUCCCUGACGAGGGGAGUAGCGCUGAAAUCGGUAUUGCCAUGUCGGGUUAGGAUUAGUGUGGCCGCAAAUCGACGGUAUUGGCCUCCGGGCGGUAUCCCACAGUGCACCAUUGUGACCGCUCUGGAAAGCAAUAUGAACUCGGAUGCACUGGUCAGGUAGACAGGAAAAGCCCUGCGAACUUUUGAAUUUCAUUUCCUGUUUGCCCAGCAUGGAGCUCUGAUCACCAUAGGUGGCAAUGCAGUCCCAAAUCCAAAAAGAGCUCCAGCAUGGACCGUACGGGAGAUACUGGAUCUGAGCGCUGUAUGGGGAGAAAAAUCUGUUCUAUCAGAGCUCCAUUACAGAAGACGAAAUGCCAAAGCAUUUGAAAAAAUCUCGAGGCUAUGAUACAGAGUCCACAGCACAGUGCUGUGUGACAAGCGUAACGGAAAGCCAGAGAAUCAAAUGGACGCUCAUGGAGGGAGGGGGUACUGAGGACUCCAGCUAUCCCGCAGUCUCCGAAAAGCAUUUGCAUUCUUGGCUGAGCUCCCAAUGCCUGAAGGGUCAAAAACAUUUUCCUGGGUGUUUCAGGGUAUAUGUCAUCAAUUUACACCCUUCCACCCCCGAAAGAAAAGGACAAAAAACCUUUUUCGCCUUUUUUCAGUGUCACCCUAUGUCUACUGCAUGCUGCUAGUAGACGGGGUGCUGCAGCACUGAACACCAGCAUCCCCUUCCUGGUGGCAGACGGUACAAUAUGACUGCUAUCCAUCAUCAGCAGCAGCCCGUGAGUGCUCCUGGCUGGCCUCGGUGAAAAUGGGAGUGACUCCCGGUCAUUCCCGGCAGAUGGUACAAAACGGCUGGUAACCAUUCUCAUCAUAGCAACUGGAGGCUGAGCUCUAUCAGCCCCCCCCUUUCAUGUCUAAAGAAAAGAUUCUGUACUGCCUGGACUAUCAUAGCAGCGAGAGGCUGCGCUCCUCUCCCCCCCACACCCUUUAAUGUCCUGCCUGGACUAUCAUAGCACCUGGAGGCGUCCUCUCCCUCAUUUUAUCUCACUAAAAAGUCAGUGUUUCUUAUUCCUGCGUUCUUUAUUACUUCAUCACACAAAUAGGGAGACACUGCCACGGUACCCCAGGAGGGUUGGGGGAGGAGGGAAGCAAUGGAUGUGGUUGCUGCAGGGGCACCCCCUAGAAUGGCAUGCAGCUCAUCAUUUUUGCAGGAUCUCUGGGGCUCUGACACGGAGCGGCUGUGGUCUCUGGUUCUCUAGUACACUUACUCCAUAUUCUAGGCAGGACUGACUCUAUUUUUAGACAAAACAUAAAGAAGGGAAUGACCCAGGGAGUUAUUCCCAUUUUUGUCCAUGCACCCCCGGCCGACCUCAGCGAGGCCAGCCAGGAGCACCCAUGACAGCAGCAGACGGUACAAAAUGACUGAUAACCGUCAUCUCAUCGUGAAUUUACAAUGGCAGACUGUGCAAUAGGGAUGGUAACCGUCUCUACUACCUUGCAAAGGCAAAUGAAUGCUGCUGUGUAGCACUGCAGUACCACGUCUGUGAGCAGCAUCCAGUACACAUUUGGUGACAGUGAAAAGGCAAAACGGGCUCCAUGGUUGCCAUGCUAUGUCAUUUGCCAGGGCAAUCCAGGGGGAAAAGGGCGUGAAAUGAUUGUCUGCCGUUGCUUUCACGGAGGAAGGAUUGUGUGACGACAUUUACCCAGAAUCAUCCGCGACACUGUUUUUGCAUUGGGAUCUCAACCCAGAAUUCCAAUGGGCAGGGGAGACUGCGGGAACUAUGGGAUAGCUACAGGAUAGCUACCCACAGUGCAAUGCUCCGGAAAUCGACGCUAGCCUUGGUACAUGGACGCACAGUGCCGAAUUAAUGUGCUUAGUGUGGCCGCGUGCACUUGACUUUGUACAAUCUGUUUUACAAAACCGGUUUAUGUAAAAUUGGAAUAAUCCCGUAGUGUAGACAUACUCUUAGAGGCUUAGUUAAGGCUACUUUUCCUUCUAAGUUUUUCACUACCAGAGGUACAGCACGUACAAUACAAUAUAUAGCCUCAGAGAAAAGGAACAAAGUUGUGAUAGAAAGCCUCGUAUAUAUGUAAUGAGGAUUCACAUUACCGAAGGUACAGGGAGAAUUGUUAGGCCUAUUUGUUAUUUGUAAGUUCUGAACUUUUUGUUUUACUGUUUUCUAACACAAAAAAUUACCACAUUUAAGGGAAAAACUCUUUGUGA